UACGUAGGGACCAAGCGUUGUUCGGAUUUACUGGGCGUAAAGGGCGCGUAGGCGGUCAGCACAAGUCAGUUGUGAAAUCUCCGGGCUUAACUCGGAAAGGUCAACUGAUACUGUGCGACUAGAGUGCGGAAGGGGCAACUGGAAUUCUCGGUGUAGCGGUGAAAUGCGUAGAUAUCGAGAGGAACACCUGCGGCGAAGGCGGGUUGCUGGGCCGACACUGACGCUGAUGCGCGAAAGCCAGGGGAGCGAACGGG
rnacentral:rRNA from 1 species